GGGCCGUUAGCUCAGUUGGCAGAGCACCUGACUUUUAAUCAGGUUGUCACAGGUUCGAAUCCUGUACGGCCUACCA
rnacentral:tRNA from 1 species